rnacentral:rRNA from 1 species
UCAGGAUGAACGCUAGCGGCAGGCUUAACACAUGCAAGUCGAGGGGCAGCGCGGGGCGGCAACGUCCUGGCGGCGACCGGCGGAAGGGUGCGUAACGCGUGAGCGACAUGCCCGUUGCCCGGGGACAACCGGUGGAAACGCCGACUAAUCCCCGAUGGGACGGAGGCCCUCAUGGGUCUCUGUUGAAAGUUACGGCGGCGACGGAUUGGCUCGCGUCCGAUUAGCUUGUUGGCGGGGUAACGGCCCACCAAGGCUACGAUCGGUAGGGGUUCUGAGAGGAAGGUCCCCCACAAUGGAACUGAGACACGGUCCAUACUCCUACGGGAGGCAGCAGUGAGGAAUAUUGGUCAAUGGGCGGAAGCCUGAACCAGCCAUGCCGCGUGCGGGAAGGAGGCCCUAUGGGCUGUGAACCGCUUUUGCCUGGGGGCAAUAAGGGCGUCGCGCACGUCCGAUGAGAGUACCAGGGGAAUAAGCAUCGGCUAACUCCGUGCCAGCAGCCGCGGUAAUACGGGGGAUGCGAGCGUUAUCCGGAUUCAUUGGGUUUAAAGGGUGCGUAGGCUGUGCGUCAAGUCAGGGGUGAAAUUCCGGGGCUCAACUCCGGGGCUGCCCUUGAUACUGUCGCGCUGGAGUGCGGAUGCCGCCGGAGGAAUGAGUGGUGUAGCGGUGAAAUGCUUAGAUAUCACUCAGAACACCGAUUGCGAAGGCAUCUGGCGAAUCCGUAACUGACGCUGAGGCACGAAAGCGUGGGGAUAGAACAGGAUUAGAUACCCUGGUAUUCCACGCCGUAAACGAUGAUGGCUAACCGCCGGCGACAUACUGUCGGUGGCCAAGCGAAAGCGAUAAGCCAUCCACCUGGGGAGUACGUCGGCAACGAUGCAACUCAAAGGAAUUGACGG